GAAAUUUUGAAUGAAAAUAACAUAGCAGAGACGAUCAAGAAAAAAAGGUUGCGGUGGGCAGAACAUGCAAUGCGAAGCCAGAACUCUUUACUAAGAAUGGUUUUAGAACAGAAUCAAGUAGGAAAAAUGCCUUUGGGAAAACCAAAAUUGAGAUAGGAAGAUUUAGUUAAGAGAGAUAUAGAAGUCUUAGGAGGCGGAGCAAACUAGAAGGAUUUGGCGAUGAAUAGAGAUGCCUGGAGAAUUGGUUGUGAGACGGGAUGGUCCUAGUGGCCGAUUAACCCAAGAAAAAAAAAAAAAAAAUU